rnacentral:snoRNA from 1 species
AGGACUGUACUUUCAGGGAUCAUUUCUAUAGUUUGUUACUAGAGACAUUUCUCUGAAGGUGUAGAAGAAAAAAACAAACAAGAUGCAGCUAACUCCUGAUGUCCGGAAGUCUGGCUACUCGAAGUGUU